rnacentral:rRNA from 1 species
UACGGAGGAUGCGAGCGUUAUCCGGAUUUAUUGGGUUUAAAGGGUGCGCAGGCGGAAUGUCAAGUCAGCGGUAAAAUUUCGGGGCUCAACCCCGUCGUGCCGUUGAAACUGGCGUUCUUGAGUGAGCGAGAAGUAUGCGGAAUGCGUGGUGUAGCGGUGAAAUGCAUAGAUAUCACGCAGAACUCCGAUUGCGAAGGCAGCAUACCGGCGCUCAACUGACGCUCAUGCAC